AUCUGAGACUCAUGUCGGAUAAUUUGGUUGUCAUGCUCCUCCAACAUCUUCUGCCAUUCUUCUAUUGAUUUCAAAGGUAUCUUCGAAGGUGUUGUUGCUAAAACUGGCAUAUUGGUCUACACUAAAUUAUUGGCUUCCUUUGCUAAUGUUGCUAGUUUAGUCUGCAACAUCGCAAUCUCUAUCCAUAGACGUUCUUGCCAUUCUUUUCAAUUGAUUUCCAACCUUGCUUUCUCAGACAUCAUAUUUGCCAUCUUCUCCUUAACCACAAAAGAAAACACGAUGCUUGUCAAGAGUCUCCCUCCUACUUCUUACUGUGGUCCAAUCAAUUGGGUCGACUCUCCCUUGAGUAAUAGAAAAUCCAUCUUGGGUUUAAGU
rnacentral:lncRNA from 1 species